rnacentral:lncRNA from 1 species
CGUGAUCGCCGUUUUUUAUUUCACGUUCAACGGAUUUUUACUUUUUUAUUUGACGUUCAGUCGUGCAAGACAGGUGCCUCGUUGAACGUGUUUUGCUUAUUUAAUUUUACGUGCAUCGUGAUUUUCAAAUGCUUAUUUUGCGUGCUCGGUAUUUUUCAAAUAAAUUUCAAACACUGGGCAGGGAUCGUCAAGAAGAAAAAAAAUAUUGAAAUUUGUUUUUGUGAUAAGGGACUCAUAAGGCGGAAAGACCCAUGAUGUUGUUCCUUCAUUUGCAUUUUAAAAGUUCAGAAGAUUGUUAAAUACUUUUUUAUAUUCAUUUAUAUCAUAAAUGCCUAAUCAUUGUUCUCUUAUAUGUUAUAUAAAUAAAGAU